ensembl:lncRNA
GCUAUUGUCCACUGGGUGGCAGUAAAGCACCGCCUUAAAUGAUGACUCGCUGACAGCGGUUGUUGACUCACAACGGGCCAAUGUAGACUAAUUAAAAACAUACAAAGGCAGUGUUUUGAUACAUAUUUUUCUUUUAACCAUCGUGCUAUUGUUACCAUAUUGGAACGACAAAUCUUUUUCAACCUUGUAGCCAGAGAAAAUAUGACAGCAAAAUAAUAGGCAUUGGAUGGAACAGCAGUUUCCUCUGCGAUUAAUCCAGAAAUCUUAUUCAGCUCCUCUGUGACUCAUGAGCCUCUGAGUUCCUGAAGACCUGGUCAUCAUGGAUAAAAGAGCUGGAGAAGAUGUUGGAAAUACUGUUCCACUGAAUGCUGUAUUAUGGAAACAGACUCCACAGGGAGCAGAGACCCCAUCGAUCAGCUUUCCUGUUAAUCACAUGCUUUGUUGGUAAAAUAAACCCC